rnacentral:rRNA from 1 species
AGAGUUUGAUUCUGGCUCAGGGCGAACGCUGGCGGCGUGCCUAACACAUGCAAGUCGAACGGAGAUACAGGGGCUUGCCCCUGUAUCUUAGUGGCGGACGGGCGAGUAACGCGUGAGGAACCUGCCCUUCAGUGGGGAAUAACGGCUGGAAACGGUCGCUAAUACCGCAUGACACAUUGGUACCGCAUGAUACUGAUGUCAAAGGAGCAAUCCGCUGAAGGAUGGCCUUGCGUCCGAUUAGCUAGUUGGUGGGGUAACGGCCCACCAAACCGACGAUCAGUAGCCGGCCUGAGAGGGCGACCGGCCACAUUGGGACUGAGACACGGCCCAA